UAGCAAAAUUGCCAGCCCUAAGAAACUGAAUGAUUUAUAAUGAUGGGAGUCGGGGAAAGGGUGGAAAUUAUGGAUCUGCUCUUGUAAAUAGGAUGUGAGAACAUUGAGAAACCCUUUGAAGGACAUGUUGAUGCGUCCAUGAAGGAGAAGGAAUAACGAGCAGAGCCGGGGCUCUGGUUUGGAGACCCAGUUCUUCCUCUUUGGAUAUUUUACCCUUAGACAUCUGGACCAGUUCCUUAAAAGUCUCCAGUCUAGGAUCUAAGACACUGAUUUAGAACUAUACUGCUUUCUUUGUGAACACCCAUUCUCAGACGCUUCUAAUUACACUGUAUUCUGUAGCCAAGCCAGCAGGCUGACUUCAACCACAACCACACCUCUGCCAUUUACUAUGCUCUUGCAGAAAUUGAGAAUUGGCAAACUGAAUACAUCUGCUAUUUCAGUUGUAGAAACACUGAUCUGGGCUCUCCCUCCUCUUUCCUGUUACUCUACUAAGAGAAGAGGACAGUUGCAAUGAAAUGAUCGAGUUCAAAGAUAAUUUACUGGACCAUACUCUCUGGAGCUGGACCAAGCAAGGAGAUAAAAAUUAAAGUUGAAGUAGAGGUGAUCUCUUGGAAUGUUUUUCCUUCCAUCAGACUAUGGAAGGGAGACCUUUCUUGGUCUGCUGCUGCUGGGGGCAAAGUCUACCAACCACUCUCGUCUGCUUUGUCUCUC
rnacentral:lncRNA from 1 species